AAUCUGCCUUCAACUCUGGGAUAACUCCGGGAAACCGGGGCUAAUACCGGAUAUGAGCCUUGAUCGCAUGAUCGGGGCUGGAAAGUUUUUCGGUUGAAGAUGACUUCGCGGCCUAUCAGCUUGUUGGUGAGGUAAUGGCUCACCAAGGCGACGACGGGUAGCCGGCCUGAGAGGGCGACCGGCCACACUGGGACUGAGACACGGCCCAGACUCCUACGGGAGGCAGCAGUGGGGAAUAUUGGGCAAUGGAGGAAACUCUGACCCAGCGACGCCGCGUGAGGGAUGAAGGCCUUCGGGUUGUAAACCUCUUUCAGUAGGGAAGAAGCGAAAGUGACGGUACCUACAGAAGAAGCACCGGCUAACUAUGUGCCAGCAGCCGCGGUAAUACAUAGGGUGCAAGCGUUGUCCGGAAUUAUUGGGCGUAAAGAGCUCGUAGGUGGUUCGAUACGUCGGAUGUGAAAAUCAGGGGCUCAACCCCUGACCUGCAUCCGAUACGGUCGAGCUAGAGUUUGGUAGGGGAGACUGGAAUUCCUGGUGUAGCGGUGGAAUGCGCAGAUAUCAGGAGGAACACCGAUGGCGAAGGCAGGUCUCUGGGCCAAUACUGACACUGAGGAGCGAAAGCGUGGGGAGCGAACAGGAUUAGAUACCCUGGUAGUCCACGCCGUAAAACGGUGGGCGCUAGUUGUGCGAACCUUCCACGGUUUGUGCGA
rnacentral:rRNA from 1 species